CCCGCGGGCUGCGACUCACUCUGAGUGCGCCGGGCCGUUGGGCGGGAGACACCCUUCUUGUAACCCCGACCCGGUCUCCGUGAGAGAUUGGAAGGGUCUGCUGUUACUAGUCCAAUAUGCAUCUUCUGAGGAAGAGAUAUACCUGAAGGACAUCCCCACUUAAAUCUAUGGAGAGUCCUGGAUUAGGCACAUCUCAGAAUCCUGGUAAUGAGUCACUUCCAGGCUGACAGUCCCUUAGCCCCUAGACCACACUCUCCCCUCCCUCUCCAGCUCCCAGUCUCCUGCUGUGGCUCCUUCCUCUCAUCCGCCCUUAAAGAACUCACUUUGGGUUGGGAGAGAAAACAUCACAAGUUUGGAGGAAAAUUGACUGUGCCAACCAGCAUUCCUAAAAGCGAUCAAAGAAAACACGCUUUUCAAAUAGUUGGAUAGCUAAGUCAGGGAGAGAAAUAGCUGCCGUUGCAGGGCCAGAGAUCUCAAGACAAUUUUAAAUUGUUCCUAGGACUUUAAUAUCCUGUGAUGAAAAGGCAACAUUUUGUACAAUACAUCCCAAGGACAGGAAGAAAAACUGAAACCCAGAACUGCAAUGUUUCCACAGCUUUGUUCAAAUAAAAACCCUCCCCAC
ensembl:lncRNA